rnacentral:rRNA from 1 species
CGCCUCUUGCCACAAUAUAAGAGGUCCAGCCUGCCCAGUGACUCUGUUCAACGGCCGCGGUAUCCUAACCGUGCGAAGGUAGCGUAAUCACUUGUUCUUUAAAUGUGGACUAGUAUGAAUGGCAUCACGAAGGUUAUACUGUCUCCUUUUUUUAAUCAAUGAAACUAAUCUUCCCGUGAAGAAGCGGGAAUAGAAAUAUAAGACGAGAAGACCCUAUGGAGCUUUAAACAACACAGCAUUUGUCUAAAAAUUAAUCUAUUUCAGAAAACCAACUCUUCAAACAAUAUGACUGCAAGUUUUCGGUUGGGGUGACCACGGAGCAUAAUAUAACCUCCAUGUUGAAAGAAUUUUUUCUAAAUUAAGAAUUACCAAUCAAAAUAUCAACAUAUUGACAUCCAUUGACCCAAUAUACUUGACCAACGAUCCAAGUUACCCUAGGGAUAACAGCGCAAUCCACUUCAAAAGCUCCUAUCGACAAGUGGGUUUACGACCUCGAUGUUGGAUCAGGGUAUCCCAGUGGUGCAGCCGCUACUAAAGGU